rnacentral:rRNA from 1 species
UACGGAGGGUGCAAGCGUUAUCCGGAUUUACUGGGUUUAAAGGGUGCGUAGGUGGGCGGAUAAGUCAGCGGUGAAAUCUCCAGGCUUAACUUGGAAACUGCCAUUGAUACUAUCUGUCUUGAAUAUCCUGGAGGUGAGCGGAAUAUGUCAUGUAGCGGUGAAAUGCUUAGAUAUGACAUAGAACACCAAUUGCGAAGGCAGCUCACUACGGGAUCAUUGACACUGAGGCACGAAAGCGUGGGGAUCAAACAGG